rnacentral:rRNA from 1 species
UCCUAUGGCCAUGCCACUCUGAACAAACCCGAUCCCAUCUGAUCUCUAAAGCUAAGCAGGGUCGGGCCUGGUUAAUACUUGGAUGGGAGACCACCUAGGAAGACCAGAUGCUGUAGGCA